rnacentral:rRNA from 1 species
AAUCAACGCUGGCGGCGUGCCUCAGACAUGCAAGUCGAACGCGAAAAGCUCCCUUCGGGGGGCAAGUAGAGUGGCGCACGGGUGAGUAACACGUAGGUAAUCUACCUUCGGGUGGGGAAGUAACAACCGGAAACGGUUGCUAAUACCGCAUAAUGCAGCGGCACCCAACUAGGUGGACAGUUGUUAAAGACGGGGGAGUCGAAAGAUCUCGCGCCUGAAGAGGGAGCCUGCGGCGG